GCUGGGUGCAGUGGUGUAUGCCUGUGAUCCCAGUAGCUUGGGAGGCUGAGGCAGGAGGAUCAAUUACGAGUUUAAAGCCAUCCUCAGCAGCUUAGCAAAGCCCUGAGAAACUCAGCAAGAUCCUGACUUUA
rnacentral:sRNA from 1 species